rnacentral:sRNA from 1 species
CCCUAGCCCAGAUGGAAACGGCAUCCUUUUUAUCUCGUUUUUUAACGAGAUAAAAAGAUAUAGUGGACAGCUGGAAAUAGC